rnacentral:rRNA from 1 species
UACGUAGGGUGCGAGCGUUGUCCGGAAUUAUUGGGCGUAAAGAGCUCGUAGGCGGUGUGUCGCGUCGGCCGUGAAAACCUGCAGCUUAACUGUGGGCUUGCGGUCGAUACGGGCAUCACUGGAGUUCGGCAGGGGAGACUGGAAUUCCUGGUGUAGCGGUGAAAUGCGCAGAUAUCAGGAGGAACACCGGUGGCGAAGGCGGGUCUCUGGGCAGUAACUGACGCUGGAGGAGCGAAAGCGUUGGGGAGCGAACAGG